UUUCUUUCUCACUUCUAUUUUCCAUCAUCAUUGCAAGCAAUUGUGUACAAUAGAGUAACAAAAGUUGCCUUUAUUUACUUCUUAACUUACGUAUUACACGUGGCGCAGGUCAUUAUUCUGCAGCUUGAGUUUAGGCUGCUAGAACUGUUUUUAAAGUACCGAAAAAAGUUUCCUGAAUAUGUUUCUUUUUAUUUUGGAUCGAGUUAUUGCAGUUUAUGAGAAACUAAUUUGGUUGGUUUUCAUUCUUUCUGGAACAGCCCUAAUAAUUUAUUUCACCGUGUCUUUACUCCAAGAAAAACUAGUUGAAAUACCCAAUAAAGUGCGAAAAGAAAUCGAAGACACGUUUUGUCAUUCGGGUGAGUUGAGCAGAGUCCUGUAUGCCCUCUCAACGAGCGAAGGCAAUCGAAAGAUUUCGCAUUUGGAAGAAAUAGUGGACAAAAAAUUUGAAUUUAAUCGGAUUGCUAAAGAUUUGCUUGACUCGACUGAAAAUGAAGAGAUUAACCGUCGCUAUCGAGAAGACAUGCGCCAAAUCUGGGAUGAAAAAAAUUUCAAAGUGUUGGAAAGUUCUGGCGAUGAAUCUGAGUUACGAAUUUUGGGAUCCGCAUCAAUACAAGUUUAUGUGCACGCUAUUCGGCUGCUUGACAAAUCGACCUAUCGUCACUUGAGAUCCGUAUCUAGCCGUUUUGGAGUUUCACAGAGCACAAUGAUUUUAGCAUCUACUGGGUUUGAUAUUGCGGUCCACAUGAAACGUUAUUGGUGCGGAGAAACAACUGGUCGACAGGCCGUUUCCGAUGUCAUGCGAUCUCUUGUCAGAGAAAUCGCAAGUGUAGGAGGUGGCAUA